rnacentral:lncRNA from 1 species
CCGUACUUUGCCAACCCAUAUCAGAUAAUAUCCACACGCUUCUAGCAAAAUGGACAUUGACACUCCCUCUCUUUAUAAACACUUGUAUUUUUUUCGGUGUUUCAUGUUCUUGAGUACUUUAUCUAUUAUUUAAUUUUUGUAUGUAUAAUUAAGUAAUAACUCACCUUUUCUCCUUCCUCCUUUCUAAAAUCCAUGGCUGGUAAAAUAAAUUUGAGCCUCUCUCUCAAACCAACCCAAUAGACCUAUGAGGAGAUGAGACUAAUGUAAUGUGAAAAGCUAAUAAGAGAAAUGAAAUCGAUGCAAAUGGAAUUUUUUUGUCAACUCGAAAGAGUAGAGGUUAACGGUGGCGAUAGACAUGGAUGAUGUAGAACACUAGAAAAUGUG